AACCCUGACCUGGACUCUGUACCCUGACCUGUACCCUGACCUGGACCCCUUUGUAGUUUCCUUUACUCAGUAAAGACUGGAACAUGCGUCACGUUCCUGGAAAGCGUCAGCUUCUGAGUGAGAAUGAACGGAUCAGUUUGUGGACAGCUUCCUGUCCUGGGCUCCGUCACUCAGAGCCUGAGGAUUUAUGAGGAGGCUUUUAUCUGAAGAAGUGCUCUUCAUCAUCCCCAUCAGACUGAGGCAGCCGGGUCGACCCACAGCACACACUGUGUCCUUCAUGCAUCUUAAUCAUUGUGACAGGACUGAGGAGGGUCUUCACCUCUUCAGGUUCGUCCUCCUCAGUGGGAGGAGCUGAUGGAGGUUAAGGACUAAAAGACAGGAAGUGAAACAGGAAGCAAAGCCAGAGACGGAGAAACUUGAUUUAUUUAUGGUUUGAAACUGAACAGAGUUCCAUGAAUGUGUGUUAAACCUCAGAGAUAACCUGCACAGGGUCAAAGGUCAUUCACAGGGUCAAAGGUCAUUCACAGGGUCAAAGGUCAUUUACAGUCCAUCUUUCUUUUAUUAAUUAUUCUAAAGGAUGUUCCAGCAGGUGACUGACCUGCUGACAGUCUGCAGCUGAACAGAGUAAAAAGAAGAAGAAGUCAGAGAGCUGUCAGAAUAACAACAGGGAUGAAGCCCUGAAGCUUUGCAGCAUCACCUCCCUGCCGGUGCUCCAGAAACUCUUCCUGGUGUUUUCUGGGUCACGAGUUUCAGUGACGGAGUGAUAACGAAAUUCCAGGCGGUGAAGUGUCGGAUGUGAUGAUGUGUUUAAAGACGUCUGUAAAACUCAGGACUUUCUCUGCAGCUUUGGGUCAGUCUUUGUUUGGCCUCUGGACUGGUGUCUGUGAAGAUGCAUUUCUAAAACCAACCUGGAUGAUCAGCUGUGAUCUAAGGACCAGAAGAGAUGAAACUGAAGCAGCAGCACCACGUCUGAGGGUUAACACAGACCCAGCUUUAUCUGUCCUCUGCUGAUCUUCAGAUGUUCUCCUCUGACAGGGAGCCUUUGAAGAAAGACUCAGCAACAACAUGUGCAGCUGCAGCCUCUGCUGCAUGUUGAUGCAUCAGCUGUGUGGCAGGAAGCAGCUGUUUGAAGUGAACAUCUCAGGAUCACACAUGUGAACAGGCUGGAAGUGUUGGAGGAGAACUCUGGUUCCCAGCAGGCGUUGCUGCAGGGCUUCUGAUUCAUCUCAGGUGUUCAGAGCUCAGGUAUCACAGCAUCACUAACCUGGAGCUGUGCAGCAGCAUCACUGCAGGGCACGGCUCACCACCUCACCUGCCUCUGCUUUUACCUGAGCUCUGAGACUGAACCAAGGAAUCCACCAAUCAGUCCAUUUAACCUGGUCAGCCAAUCACAACAGCAUCUGGAACAGCAGCAGCAGCAGCAGCAGCAGCAGCAACAGCAGCAGCAGCAACAGCAGCAACAACAACAACAA